GAGCAGCAGCGGUGGGAUCCCCCUUUGGCACGGCCACCCACCGCUACGGGACUGCAACAAGGAGCUGCACCCUGCCGUGGUCAGCAUGGCUCUGUGUGCCAGCUGUGUGCUGCUGGAAAGCACCCGAGCGGUUACGGGUGGGAGAGUGGCAGAGGAAAUCAUCCAACAUCUGCAGGGAUAGCACAAGGCAGGCUCAGUGUGACAGCUGUGUCAUUGUGCAGCAGACAGAUGCUGAGCAGAGCACAGCAGGGCCAGGACGUUCUGACCAGGGGGAGGUGGAGAGUGCACACGAGAUAAGGCACAGCUGCAGGACGGAGCAUGAGACCCAGCACGUGCAACAGCUGCAAGAAAUCCUGCCUGCCUGUCUGCAUAGAAAAGCACACAAUCAGCCCGAAAGGAACACGUUGGCCAUAGACCUCCUCUGGAAAAACUGCACAGCGGAUGCGUGGUGGAGACUGUGAGCCUGCAGUGCCCAGCCAAGGGGGAACAGGAGAGCAGUGGGUGCCAUGGGAGGAGAGCUACAGGAGCAGAAGGAGCUCACAGAGGAGAGUGCAGUAACGCCAUAGUAAUAAGGAAUGAGUAAUAAGGAAUGAGCAUUGCUGCUGCACUGAGAGCUGUGCUUGGUAAAACAUGAGGGAUGCGAGUGUUUCUCGCACACCCCAGAGGCACCGGGGGAGAUGUGCUGACAUGUAAGGAAGCCUCAUGGGGUUGUGGGGCAGAUAAAGGACGCCUAUGGGAGGGCUUCAGGAGAACUUUGAGGCAGCCUUGCAGCAGAGCCACACCUGGGAUCUGCCUUUACCCAACACACUGCUGCUGGCCAUGGGCUGCGGGCAGUGAUGGGGCUACUCUGGGGCUGCUCUAGGAUGGCUCUGGGGCUGCUAUGGGCAGCUAUGGGAUACACUCAUGGAGCAUCUUCCAUAGCCCCCAGCUAACCCCUCGACCUCCAUCUUGUCCCGCAAGAUGAGGGCAAGAUGAGCGUCAGGGGAAUAUUCAGGCUGCUGACCUACAGCGGCCCCAGAACCACCUUAUAGUACCCCCUGAACAAGCCAGGAACAGACCCAUCCCUGCCCACAGCCUCAUAUGGGCUUACGGUGCUCACAGGGUUAUGGGACAUGUGGAGCCUCUGGGUCACGCGGAGUUCUAUGGGGUUCUGGGCUCAUGUGGCGUUAUGGAUCAGGGCUACCACCUUUGGGACACAGGGAACCCCAAUCCCCUCUCAGGAAGAAAUCAAUGAAUGCACUCCAACACCACUCCACAUCCCCCAUUCUGACCCCAAACCGCUCCCCACGAGCCCCCAGACCCCCCACAUACCCAUGCCACGCCAUGUCUCUGCACCCACAAUUCCCACCUGUACCUCACACCUUGCCUUCUCCUGUGAAGCACUCUGCUCCUGUAGGCUGUGGUCCACAUCCCCUUAUCCUCCCCAAAUCCUCCCAUGUUCUGAUCCGUGUUCCCCAGUAUCCCCAGUGCCGCCCACUUCACUUUCACCCACAUCUGUGCCCUACACCUUCUCCAGCUCCUCAUUCCUCACCUGCAGAAGCCAUCCAUGCCACAGCACUGUGAGGUUCUACGGGAGGCAGAUCGGGGGGAGGAGAGGCCCCAGGUGGGCUUUGGGGGUCCUGGGAUGGUGAUGGGGUCCUGUCAGGGACCAUGGGGGUCAGUGAGCACCCAGGGGGGAUCUUGGAGGUGUAAAGGAGGUCUGAGGGAGGAAAUAGGGGUGUUCUGUGGCAGCUCAGUAGGGUACAUAGGGUGCUGCUGGGGACUGUGGGGCUCCAUGUGGGUAUGGGCCAGCUACGGGGGAGGUGUACUGCGUCUGAGGGGGUCCUUGAGGGGCUCCAGGGCUCUGUGGGGGGCUACAGGGUGUCUCUAGGGGUCUUGCUGGGAAACACUGGGAGGGAUAUAUGGGCUCUGAGGGAAUGAUGGGUGGGCUGUCAUGAGAAAGGAAAGGGCAGCCUUGUGGAAAGCAAGGGGACAGCUGGGGGAAGAACAGGGGAACGUCCCAGCAACGGACUUCUUCUUUCACAUCCACAUCUUCUGCUUCCCAACUGAGCUGCAAAGCUGCCAGAGGAGCUGCAGUACCGCUGCCCGACUCCUGCCUGUGUCAGAAAGAGCUGCACGUGAGCAGAGUGCAAUUGCCAUUCUAAAGCCAACUCCAUCACUGCAGUCACAAAACCACAACCUUCAGUAUCUGCUACAGGCAGACGACCAUGCCCUUGCACAGGAACCAUUCCUACAGAGCAAGGGAAGUCCUUCACUGCCUCAGGACGUGAGGAACACAGGAAGGGCCCCAAAGCCUUCAGCACAUGCUAUGGAGCCACCAAAGUUGGCAGCUAAACACACCUUCUCCUUCAAGAAUGAGCAAGACCAAUCAAUGCACCCUGCUGCUGCAGAGGGCUGCGCUGCAUCUCCUGGUGCCACCCUUGGGCUGUCAUCGCGCUGCCCACCCACAGCGCACUUUGAAGCGCCGCAGCCUUGCAAGAAAGAACAGAGAGCAAGGAGCUCUGCCGUGCACUUCCUGUGAGAACACAGAGAGGAGCCGUACAGCCCUUGCUCUCAGCACACACACCUCUUCUCUUACCAGCCGUUCAUUCCUGCACAGCGCUGCUCAAACCCCUCCUCCAUCUCUCCCUUCACAACGCCAUACGCAGCCUCUCCCCAGCGACGAGCUCUGGGCUCUUUCAUGCCUGUGCCAUCAUCGGGGCCUGCAGAACAAACCUGGGAGUUCAGAGGUUUGAUUAGAAUCGCUGCUACCGUGCAGGGAGGGAGGGCUGAGAUGCACAGCGUCCUCACCUGCUGGAUGUUGGAAGGGGAGGUUCAGCAGCAGCUCGACUCGCGAUGAUUAAGUCCUCCAAAAGCCGCCUUCUUUCUUUCGGAUCAGCAGACUGCAGACUGAAACCUUUUCAAAAGGCAUUAUGAAACAUGAUUAGAUUAUUAACCAUAAUCAUUAAACAUAAACAGAUUACCUAAAGCCCAAGGAGAAAACACGUUUCAGAUUGAAGACCACAAAAGCAUCAUAUUCUAUUCCAAGACAACUUCAGUUCCAGUUUCAAUUUCAUGACUAGCAUUUCACCCUCCCUGCUGUGGAAGGGGGGAAAGGAAGGAAGGGAGAGCCUUCUAGCCCCACAUCCCUUUAGAGAUCACCCUAUAGCUCCAGAUCAUCCUAUGGACCCACACAGCCCCUUAGAGGACCACAUCCUCCAAACACCCCCUAUAGCCUUAUAUCUCCCUAUAUCCCCAAAUAGCCCACCACAGCCCCUCUGUAACCCCCAAAGGCCCAUUUUAGCCUCCCAUACCUUCUCCAGCAUAACAUCCCUCUCUACAGACCCCCCCUGGCCCCCUAUCAUCCUAUACACUCUACAGCCCGCCACAACCCCCUAAAAAUUCACUACUGCCCCAUAUCUCCCUAUAUCCCCUCCACAGCCCCCUAUAGCCUCCUACCCUACUAGAACCCUCCUACAGACCACCCACAGCUCCCUAAAGCCCCAUAACCACCUAUAAAGCUCCUAUAGCCUCCCCAUAGAACCAUAUAGCUUUCCCAAUAGCCCCCUACAGCGUCAUAAUAUUCCCCUGCUCCCUACAGCCACAUAGCACCCCAUGUCCCCUCUACAGCCCUAAGACCCUCCCUACAGUCCCCCAGCCCCUAAAGCCCAAUCUCCCCUUAUAGCUCCCCACAGACCCACACUGGCCCUAGACUCCCUCCAGAGCCCCCCACACUCUCCCAUAUCCAGCCUCAUAUCCCCCUAGAACCCUUCUAGACUCCAUAUCUCCCCUAUAUCCCCACAGACACCCUAUAUCCUCCCUCAGGCCCCCACAAUCUCCUACAGCACAACAUCCUGCCCUAGAGCCCCCCCCAACCCCUAGCACCCUCAACCCUCCCACAUGUUGCCACAAACCCCUAAAGCCACAUAUCCCCCUCGAACACACCUAUAGCCCUUACAGCCCCCUCAUAGAACCGUGGAGCUCCUCCCAAAGCCCCCUACAGACCCAUAUCACCCCUAUACCCCCACAGCCCCCUAGAGAACCAAAUCCCCCUAUAUCCCCCAUAUAGCCCUAAAACACUCCCUAAAGACUCUGCAGCACCCUAGAGCCCCAUAUCCCCCAAUAGCUGCCCACAGAUCCCUAGAUUCCCAACCAGCA
ensembl:lncRNA